UACGGAGGGUGCGAGCGUUGUCCGGAAUCACUGGGCGUAAAGGGCGCGUAGGCGGCGCGGUAAGUCACUUGUGAAAUCUCUGAGCUUAACUCAGAACGGCCAAGUGAUACUGCAGUGCUAGAGUGUGGAAGGGGCAAUCGGAAUUCUUGGUGUAGCGGUGAAAUGCGUAGAUAUCAAGAGGAACACCUGAGGUGAAGACGGGUUGCUGGGCCAACACUGACGCUGAGGCACGAAAGCCAGGGGAGCAAACGGG
rnacentral:rRNA from 1 species